AUUGAACGCUGGCGGCAGGCCUAACACAUGCAAGUCGAGCGAGCGGCGGACGGGUGUGUAAUGUCUGGGAAAAUGCCUGAUGGAGGGGGAUAACUACUGGAAACGGUAGCUAAUACCGCAUAUCCUCUGAUGUGUCCAGAGGGGAUUAGCUCGUAGGUGGGGUAACGGCUCACCUAGGCGACGAUCCCUAGCUGGUCUGAGAGGGUGACCAGCCACACUGGAACUGAGACACGGUCCAGACUCCUACGGGAGGCAGCAGUGGGGAAGAUUGCACAAUGGGCGCAAGCCUGAUGCAGCCAUGCCGCGUGUGUGAAGAAGGCCUUCGGGUUGUAAAGCACUUUCAGCGGGGAGGCGUUACUCGCAGAAGAAGCACCGGCUAACUACGUGCCAGCAGCCGCGGUAAUAC
rnacentral:rRNA from 1 species